UCAUCUAUUAAAAAAAAAAUGUAAAAAGAAUAAUUAAAAUAAUAUCUCUCAAAUGAAUAUUCUUAAAUUCCCAAUUAGAAACUGAAACUCGACUCGUACAAACCUCUCCUCCAUUUUCGUCUGCAGACGCAGAAAUAUGCAGAUGUAGGUAGAAAGAUAUUCCAGAGCGAGCGCAAGUGGCGUAGGGGACCAAACCCUACGUCAAUCUGUAGGGCCCACAAGAAAGGCAUCUAGGAAAGUGGGGCCCACCUAAUCAGCAGCAAAAAACAACGCUUUUCAGCCGCCGGUGGCACUGCCACCAUCUGCGGCGUUGCUGCUCUGGCGGUGGCAGUCGCAGAAUAAAUGUAAAGAGC
rnacentral:lncRNA from 1 species